AACGAACGCUGGCGGCGUGCCUAACACAUGCAAGUCGAGCGAGAAAGUCCCUUCGGGGGCAAGUAGAGCGGCGGACGGGUGAGUAAUACGUGGAUAAUCUCCCCUUAGCCUGGGAUAACCCUGCGAAAGUGGGGCUAAUACCGGAUAAGACCACAUAGCAUAUGUUACGUGGUAGAAGGUGGCUUAUAUUUAUAUGAGCUAUCACUUGAGGAUGAGUCCAUGGCCUAUCAGCUUGUUGGUGAGGUAAGAGCUCACCAAGGCUAUGACGGGUAGCUGGUCUGAGAGGACGACCAGCCACACUGGGACUGAGACACAGCCCAGACUCCUACGGGAGGCAGCAGUGGGGAAUAUUGGGCAAUGGGCGAAAGCCUGACCCAGCGACGCCGCGUGGGUGAAUGAAGGCCUUCGGGUUAGUAAAGCCCUUUCGUGCGGAAAGAACAGUCUCAUAGCUAAUACCUACGAGUAUUUGACGGUACCGCAGGAAGAAGCACCGGCUAACUCCGUGCCAGCCGCGGC
rnacentral:rRNA from 1 species